rnacentral:rRNA from 1 species
GUGGGGAAUAUUGGACAAUGGGCGAAAGCCUGAUCCAGCCAUGCCGCGUGUGUGAAGAAGGUCUUCGGAUUGUAAAGCACUUUAAGUUGGGAGGAAGGGCAGUAAGUUAAUACCUUGCUGUUUUGACGUUACCAACAGAAUAAGCACCGGCUAACUUCGUGCCAGCAGCCGCGGUAAUACGAAGGGUGCAAGCGUUAAUCGGAAUUACUGGGCGUAAAGCGCGCGUAGGUGGUUCAGCAAGUUGAAGGUGAAAUCCCCGGGCUCACCCUGGGAACUGCCUCCAAAACUACUGAGCUGUGGUACGGUAGAGGGUAGUGGAAUUGCCUGUGUAGCGGUGAAAUGCGUAGAUAUAGGAAGGAACACCAGUGGCGAAGGCGACUACCUGGACUGAUACUGACACUGAGGUGCGAAAGCGUGGGGAGCAAACAGGAUUAGAUACCCGUGUAGUCC